rnacentral:rRNA from 1 species
AACGAACGCUGGCGGCAUGCCUAACACAUGCAAGUCGAACGAGACCUUCGGGUCUAGUGGCGCACGGGUGCGUAACGCGUGGGAACCUGCCCUUAGGUUCGGAAUAACUCCCCGAAAGGGGUGCUAAUACCGGAUAAUGUCUUCGGACCAAAGAUUUAUCGCCUUUGGAUGGGCCCGCGUUGGAUUAGCUAGUUGGUAGGGUAAAAGCCUACCAAGGCGACGAUCCAUAGCUGGUCUGAGAGGAUGAUCAGCCACACUGGGACUGAGACACGGCCCAGACUCCUACGGGAGGCAGCAGUGGGGAAUAUUGGACAAUGGGCGAAAGCCUGAUCCAGCAAUGCCGCGUGAGUGAUGAAGGCCUUAGGGUUGUAAAGCUCUUUUAACCGGGAUGAUAAUGACAGUACCGAGAGAAUAAGCGCCGGCUAACUCCGUG